AAAGGAAUAGACGGGGGCCCGCACAAGCAGUGGAGUAUGUGGUUUAAUUCGAAGCAACGCGAAGAACCUUACCAGGGCUUGACAUCUCAGGAAUCCUGUAGAGAUACGGGAGUGCCCUUCGGGGAACCUGAAGACAGGUGGUGCAUGGUUGUCGUCAGCUCGUGUCGUGAGAUGUUGGGUUAAGUCCCGCAACGAGCGCAACCCCUAUUGUUAGUUGCCAUCAUUAAGUUGGGCACUCUAACGAGACUGCCGGUGAUAAAUCGGAGGAAGGUGGGGACGACGUCAAAUCAUCAUGCCCCUUAUGUCCUGGGCUACACACGUACUACAAUGGCUGUUAACAAAGGGAAGCAACGCCGCGAGGCCAAGCAAAUCCCAGAAAAGCAGUCUCAGUUCGGAUUGCAGGCUGAAACUCGCCUGCAUGAAGUCGGAAUUGCUAGUAAUCGCGAAUCAGAAUGUCGCGGUGAAUACGUUCCCGGGCCUUGUACACACCGCCCGU
rnacentral:rRNA from 1 species